ensembl:lncRNA
GGAUAAUGAUGCCAUUGCCACAUUUUCUCUAAAUGAAUUUUUUAAGAAUGGAAGUCACGUUAUCAAAAGAUUUUAUGUGGGCCUUUAAAAAAAUGCACAAAGGAUUUAAGGUUAAUUUGAAGAAAUGAAAGAAAAUAUAGUUGAUGCCUACACAGAUGAAUAAUGAAGAAAGUCUUUGUGAAUCAAACAAUCCACCUUGGAAAGAACUGGAUAAACUAUAAUUGCAAGAGAGUUGGGUUAAAGUCACAGCCUACAAAGAAAGACAUGAGUUGCAUUGUCCCAUUUCCCCACUCCAACACAUGUUUGAGGAAUUACAGACAUGCUGAAGAAGGCUUUGGACUUUGAAGGAAUAUGGAUUUGGGAUAAAGAGGAGAGAAACAUUUUGAGAGGAGUACAACUGUUUCCCCUUGUACAAUCUUCUAUUCU